rnacentral:rRNA from 1 species
UACGUAGGGGGCAAGCGUUGUCCGGAUUAUUGGGCGUAAAGAGCGUGUAGGCGGCCAGAUAGGUCCGUUGUGAAAACUCGAGGCUCAACCUCGAGACGCCGAUGGAAACCAUUUGGCUAGAGUCCGGAAGAGGAGAGUGGAAUUCCCGGUGUAGCGGUGAAAUGCGCAGAUAUCGGGAAGAACACCCGUGGCUAAGGCGGCUCUCUAGUACGGUACUGACGCUGAGACGCGAAAGCGUGGGGAGCGAACAGG